rnacentral:rRNA from 1 species
UACGUAGGGUGCAAGCGUUGUCCGGAAUUAUUGGGCGUAAAGCGCGUGUAGGUGGUUAACUAAGUCGGGUGUGAAAUCCCUAGGCUCAACCAAGGAAGUGCAUUCGAAACUAGUUAACUAGAAGAUGGUAGAGGAAGGUGGAAUUCCAGGUGUAGAGGUGAAAUUCGUAGAUAUCUGGAGGAAUACCGGUGGCGAAGGCGGCCUUCUGGACCAUCCUUGACACUAAGACGCGAAAGCGUGGGUAGCAAACAGG